GAUGAACGCUAGCGAUAGGCUUAACACAUGCAAGUCGAGGGGCAGCAUGGUCUUAGCUUGCUAAGACUGAUGGCGACCGGCGCACGGGUGCGCAACGCGUAUGCAACUUGCCUCACAGAGGGGGAUAACCCGUCGAAAGACGGACUAAUACCGCGUACACUCUAUUUUGGGCAUCCAAGGUAGAUGAAAUGAAAUUCGCUGUGAGAUAGGCAUGCGUCCCAUUAGCUAGUUGGUGAGGUAACGGCUCACCAAGGCGACGAUGGGUAGGGGAACUGAGAGGUUGAACACCCACACUGGUACUGAGACACGGACCAGACGCAUAGGGGAGGCAGCAGUGAUGAAAAUUGGUCAAGGGGUGAGAGACUGAACAAGCCAAGUCGAGUGAAGGAUGACUGUCGUAGGGAGUGUAAACUUCUUUUGUAGGGGAAUAAAGAGGGGCACGUGUGCCCCAGUGAAUGUAACCUACGAAUAAGCAUCGGCUAACUCCGUGC
rnacentral:rRNA from 1 species